rnacentral:rRNA from 1 species
GAUGAACGCUGGCUACAGGCUUAACACAUGCAAGUCGAGGGGAAACGCCGGGGAAGCUUGCUUCCCCGGGCGUCGACCGGCGCACGGGUGAGUAACGCGUAUCCAACCUGCCUCUGACUGAGGGAUAACCCGUCGAAAGUCGGCCUAAUACCUCAUGGCAUCGUCUGCGGGCAUCCAACGACGAUUAAAGAUUUCAUCGGUCAGGGAUGGGGAUGCGUCUGAUUAGCUUGUUGGCGGGGUAACGGCCCACCAAGGCUACGAUCAGUAGGGGUUCUGAGAGGAAGGUCCCCCACAUUUGAACUGAGGCACGGUCCAAACUCCUACGGGAGGCAGCAGUGAGGAAUAUUGGUCGAUGAGCGGGAGCCUGAACCAGCCAAGUAGCGUGCAGGAUGACUGCCCUAUGGGUUGUAAACUGCUUUUAUGCGGGGAUAAAGUGAGGGACGUGUCCUUCAUUGCAGGUACCGCAUGAAUAAGGACCGGCUAAUUCCGUG